UCAUAGAAACCUGGGUUUAUUAUGAAGACUGUUUUCAAUGACGAUCCAGGCGGUGUCCUGGAAAAUAAGCAUUCUUGGUGUUUGGACUGAGCUGACCUUAAGGAUUCCUGGAGGUAUCACUGUGUGUGUCCAUGGUGAUGUGAUGAGCUGGGAAGAGGAAAAGCGUCAUUGUAUACCUUCCACUGAUGAAGUCUGCACAGAAGGAGCAAGUCCUAGAGAAGAAUCCAGUGUGCUGUGACAUGUGCCUGACAGGGUGAAAAGAAUAAGAGGUAUUAUGGGUAACUUAUUUCCCUUCCCCCAUCCUUCUCCACCAGUAUGCUAACAAUAUCCCAUUCUGUCUUCAUCUACAAUGCUUUCAGGGUAAAUAUGUUCCCAUUUGAAAAUGCUUGGUCUUCUCAGAUGGAUGCAAGGGCCAAGGCACUCUGGAGUAAUUAUAUUACAUCAGCUGUCCCAGAACUGCAUGGUAGGUUUUGAUUAUUUGUACUUAAACAUGGUGAGUGCCUGCAUGUCUACUCUUUUUGAUGUUAUUGUUAAUAUAGUUCAUUCACAUACACCUCUUGUAAGAACAGAGUCUCCAAUACAUUUUCUUUAUGUGUAUAGAGGACUGUAUCAUAAUAGAUCACUUAUACUUGUUGCUUCAAAAAUCACACAGAACUGAGAAAUAUUAAGAGGACAAGAAAAUGUGUACUAUAUUGAAUCAUAGUUUUUCUAUCAAUUCUGCUGCUGUGUACUGACCUGCAAGAAUACAACUCUGGUCCCUCUCCUUUUCAUGUGUCAAGAUGAGCUGGGCAGAGCAGGUUCAGAUCUGUAGACUGGGAACACAGGCAGGGUCUGUGCACUCAAUGGAGGGCCGUGACUGGGCAACUGUCCUGAAUCCAGGCAGGUGUACUUAGGGAGUUCUGACUUCUCUACCCAACUUGCCUUUAAAUCCAUCUGAAUAUGCCCCCUACUCUGACAUACACAGUGUCUAGAUGCCUUGAUCCAGUUACAUCUUCUCAAGAAAUUCUUGUUUUGUUAUGCCAUACCUGAAGCCUUAGGUGCUUUAAAAAGAUCUCUAUCACAAAGCUCUCUCACUUGCAUCUCUGACAAACAAAUGAUGUUGUGUGACUCCAUUGCUUUAACAAGUUGUAAACAAAUAGUCCCUGUUGUUAUGUGGGAUGCCUCUCUCUCUCCCUUCACCUACUUUGGGGAGGUUCCUUUACAGUAGUCUUGAAACCUCAUUAUUAGACUAUGUUGCCUCUCUUUCAAAAGACAGAAAUGGCCUUCUGAAUGGAGACAGGCCACUCUCUCCCUGGUAAGAGUUAAUCCAGGUGGGUCAGCCAACCAGGAGGCCAAAGGACCCCUUCUCAAAAAUGAGGAUCCUUCCUGAAAGCCAUACUAAAAAGCAAAAGGGGCCAUACUGAUCCCUCCAUGAGAUAAUGUGCCUCCCCUUCCAUAAGGGGUGUCUGCUCCUCUGGCAGGCUCCCACAGAGCUGGAGUCUUGCAGCCUUAGGAUCUGCCCACUUUCCUCUCUUUUCUAGGUGUGCUUUCACUAACACUUUUUCUUCCCUGACACUGUGAGCUUUCUCUAAAGCUCCUUCCCUACCCUGUGACUGCUUAUGAAAUCUGUGUGUCAGCAAUGCAGACUUAAUUCAGAUAGGACAGCUUUCUUCUUUUUCUGCUCAAGAUUUGCAAUUACCUGCCCUGGAGCUUUUCAGGUUUUUCUUCCUCUAUUUUCCUCCCUAGGUUUAUUUAUUUUAUUCUAUGUGUGUGAGAGUUUUCUCUGCAUAAAUGUCUGUGUACCACUUGGGUGGCUGCUAUGCA